rnacentral:rRNA from 1 species
AGCAGCCGCGGUAAUUCCAGCUCCAAUAGCGUAUAUUAAAGUUGUUGCAGUUAAAAAGCUCGUAGUUGAAUUUCGGGAUCAAUAUAUCGGUCGUGCCUUGGUACGUACUGGUAUCAUUGGUUUCUCCUUUCUGACGAACCAUGAUGUCAUUAAUUUGGUGUUAUGGGAAGUUAGGACUGUUACUUUGAAAAAAUUAGAGUGUUUAAAGCAGGCUUUAGCUUGAAUACAUUAGCAUGGAAUAAUGAAAUAGGACGUUCGAACCUAUUUUGUUGGUUUCUAGGAUCAACGUAAUGAUUAAUAGGGAUAGUUGGGGGCAUUAGUAUUCAAUUGUCAGAGGUGAAAUUCUUGGAUUUAUUGAAGACUAACUACUGCGAAAGCAUUUGCCAAGGAUGUUUUCAUUAAUCAAGAACGAAGUUAGGGGAUCGAAGACGAUCAGAUACCGUCGUAGUCUUAACCAUAAACUAUGCCGACUAGGGAUCGGAUGAUGUUAAUUUUUAAUGACUCAUUCGGCGCCUUACGG